rnacentral:rRNA from 1 species
CCUACGGGUGGCUGCAGUGAGGAAUAUUGGUCAAUGGGCUUACGCCUGAACCAGCCAAGUCGCGUGAGGGAAGACUGCCCUAUGGGUUGUAAACCUCUUUUGUCAGGGAGCAACGCCGGCUACGUGUAGCCGGCCUGAGAGUCCCUGCGAAAAAGCAUCGGCUAACUCCGUGCCAGCAGCCGCGGUAAUCCGGAGGAUGCGAGCGUUAUCCGGAUUUAUUGGGUUUAAAGGGUGCGUAGGCGGAAUGCCAAGUCAGCGGUAAAAUCGCGGGGCUCAACCUCGCUCCGCCGUUGAAACUGGCGUUCUUGAGUGGGCGAGAAGUAGGCGGAAUGCGUGGUGUAGCGGUGAAAUGCAUAGAUAUCACGCAGAACUCCGAUUGCGAAGGCAGCUUACUAAGCCAUAACUGACACUGAAGCACGAAAGCGUGGGGAUCAAACAGGAUUAGAUACCCUUGUAGUC